GCACCCCUCCCUGUGUCCUGCAUUGUUCUCCCUGCUCCAGGCUCCUUGUGCUCCCCUCCCUCCUCUUCUCUCUCUUGGCAUUUCUGUUUGUCUCUGUUCAUCCUUCAGUCUCCCUCACUCUCUGUCACUCUCUGUCUGUAUCUUUCCACAUCUCCAUGACUCUGUCACUGUAUUUUCCCAACUCACCCUCCCUGUACUUCCCCCUCUUUACUUCCUCCCCUUUCCCUCUCACAGAUACUAACCGCCACAUCAGAUGUGGUGCUUCUGCAGGCAGCACUUUCUUGGGCUGUCCACUUGGGUGAAGCCCUCAGAAUUCCUCUUAUGCACCCCCCCACACUUACCCUGACAGCAUUGCAGCCCCCCCCCCCCCAUCCCCCAAAACCUGGCUCUGAACAGGCCCAGGCUUUCUGUUCUUCUAGGGCCAGAGGGUAGGGAGCUGUCCGUUCAGCACCAACACCUGCCCUCUAGCUUUGCAGAGCAAGUGCCCACAGCCAGUGUCCCCAGUGCCCAACUAGAAAAGGAGGCCAUGAGCCCUGUCAGAAGAUGGAGGAGCCCACUGUCAGAGUGGGAAUGAAUGAGCUAUUUGUGGUCCAUUUGUGACAAGCCAGACCCCAAAGUAGACACGUUGGUCAGGUGUCUCACUAGUGUUUAACCAUCUUCAGGUUCAAGACUGUCCCCCUGCUCAACCGAGAUGAUACUGGACCCAAGGGGUGAGGGUGACUUGUGCAAAACUCCUCAAGUACAGUUCAGGUGGUCUGUGUUCUUUCCACAACUCCAGCAUGUCACAAAGACCAGGAGGCUCAGAGACCCAUGCCCCCGCCUCCCUGGCUAGAGAAGCUGGGACAGGUCUCCAGAGAGAUGCUCCAGAGAGGGAACAUGGCUUCUGUGAAGGAAAAGCUACCUACAGGGCUCUUCCCAGGGGCAGACACCAAUUUGGACAAGUGUUGAGGUAGACAAGAAAAUUCCUGAUCAAAUUUCACAUGAGACAAUGUCUUUAAGUUGAGUUAAUGUGAAAUUGGGGAAAGUGCUGGUGUAGAAACAGGAAACAGGACAGAAAUCAUCAGCCCUUGUCUGAGGGAAUAGCUCACAGUGAGCAGGGUUUUCUCACAAUCAUUUCUCUGCAGAGAAUGAUGUUAUUUGAUCUAAAUGUCCUGAUGAUCCAGACUCCUCUGGAGAGAGCCUGAGAGACCUUAAAGGGAGCACAAUGAAUCCUGGGCUGGCAGCAGGGAGAGCCUUUAAGGGGCUUGGAGGGGAAGCAGGGCAAAGACAUAUCUUGAGGGAAGAGGUUGAGGGCCAGACCCAUCUAGGCACCUCUCCAUACACAGAGCUCAAGUCAGGAAACGCCUCUACAGCUUGGAGGCAUGCCCUUUUUCCCCCUCACCAGGACCCUUCUCUUCCCCAUCACUGACUUCAAGGAGUCAUUAAAAAACAAAUCUCUGCUGUGAACUGGAUUGCUUUCAUCUCCCCCCUCCUCUUCAUUGUAUUAAAUGUUAAAUAUGCAA